GAGAGAGAGAGAGAGAGAGAGAGAGAGAGAAGGAGAAUCAUGUACUUUAACAAGUACACUCAUAUCUUCUGAAUUAGAAGGAUACUUGAAAACUAAGAUCAAAUUAAAAGAAAUCGACGAUAAAAUAUUCCACACAAGUCGUCGAAGAUUUUAACGUUCUAGGGAUAAUAUCUGGCAAACAUUGAAUAUUUUCCCUGAGGCUAUGCCAAGUUUCGAUUGAAAUGCAACCUUUACAUUGAUUUAUGCAUCCAUGGUAAAAAAGUGUGAAUCAUGGUAAGUCAUUGUGGUUAAGAUUUUUGCCAUGAUACGGCGCUGUACGUGCAAAAUCCAUUCAUAUCGACAAUGUAUCAUUGGA